rnacentral:rRNA from 1 species
AGUUUGAUCCUGGCUCAGGUCGACGCUGGCGGGAUGCUUUACACAUGCCGAGUCGGGCAACCUUUGGACUUCGGUCCUGUUGGCGGGUGGCAGCGGCUGGGUGAGUAAUGUAUCCCGGAACGUGCCUAGUAGCCAGGGAUAACUACGCGGCGUAACUAAUACCGCAUAAAACCCUUCGAGGAAAGCAGGGGGACCUUCGGGCCUCGCACUAUUAAACGGCCGAUAUCGGAUUAGCUAGUUGGUUGGGAUAACAGCGCUCACUAAGGCGACUGAUCCGUAGCUGGUUUGAGAGGACGACCAGCCACACUGGGACUGAGACUGGCCCAGACUCCUACAGGAGGCAGCAGUGGGGAAUUUUGGACGUGGAAACCUGAUCCAGCCAUCCCGCGUGUGCGAUGAAGGCCUUCAGGUUGUAAAGCACUUUUGGCAGGAAAGAAACGGCACGGGAUAAUACCCCGUGCAACUGACAGUACCUGCAGAAUAGCACGGCCUCUUCGUGCCAGCAGCCGCGGUAAUACGUAGGGUGCAAGCGUUAAUCGGAAUUACUGGGCGUAAAGCGUGCGCAGGCAGUUGGAAGAAGAUGUAAUCCAGAGCUUAACUUUGGAACUGCAUUUUUAACUAUCGAAGGCUAGAGUGUCAGAGGAGGUGGAAUUCAUAUGUAGCAGUGAAAUGCGUAGAUAUGCGGAGGAACACCGAUAGCGGCAGCCUCCUGGGAUAACACUGACGCUCAUCAUACUACGAAAACGUGGGGAGCUUGGCUGGAUUAGAUACCCUGGUAGUCCACGCCUAAACGAUGUCAACUAGCUGUUGGGGCCUUCGGGCCUUGGUGGCUGGCUAACGCGUGAAGUGCGACCGCCUGGGGAGUACGGUCGCAAGAUUAAAACUCAAAGGAAUUGACGGGGACCCGCACAAGCGGUGGAUGAUGUGGAUUAAUUCGAUGCAACGCGAAAAACCUUACCUGUCUGACGCUGUCUGGAAUCCCGAAGAGAUUUGGGAGUGCUCGCAAGAGAACCGGAACACAGGUGCUGCAUGGCUGUCGUCAGCUCGUGUCGUGAGAUGUUGAGUUAAGUCCCGCAACGAGCGCAACCCCUUGUCAUUAGUUGCUACGAAAGGGCACUCUAAUGAGACUGCCGGUGACAAACCGGAGGAAGGUGGGGAUGACGUCAAGUCCUCAUGGCCCAUAUGGGUAGGGCUUCACACGUCAUACAAUGGUCGGAACAAGGGAUCGCCAACCCGCGAGAGGGAGCCAAUCGAAACUCAAUCGUAGUCAGCAGAUCAUGAUCUACGAACUCAAACUGCGUGAAGUCGGAGAUCGCUGGCUCAAUCGCGGAUCGGCAUGUCGCGGUGAAUACGUUCGGGUCUUAUACACCGCCCGUCACACCAUGGGAGUGGGUUUUGCAAGUAGUUAGCCUAACCGUAAGGAGGGCGAUUACACGGUAGGAUUCAUGACUGGGGUGAUCCUCCUAGGGAUA